AGGCCAAAUAGGUGUUACACAUAUUAUAGUCUGUACAACUUUCUACAGGUUCUCUCAACUAGUGUAUCCCAUGCCAUGAAAUAUCUAAGCACAACUAAACUUGCUCUUACUGCUCUAUGUGUAGGAUUUAAUUCCUGUACUAAAAUUAAUAUUAUUUUAGUUUCUUUGUAUAAAGCUUGAAAGAACUAAUAAAUUACUUUAUUUGCAGGAUUUUGUGUUGCUGACAUAGGAAGGAAACCCACGCUAGGGAUGGAGGAGAGGAGGAAACUUCAUCUGAGGAAGAUGAGAAUGAAGAGACAGAGAAGUCAUCUAAUUAAACAGAACAGGCAUUUUAGAUGAUGAGGGAGAGGAGGAGGGCACCGCAUUUGAUAAGGAAGAAGAUUAUAUAGAAGCAAUAUCAGAUGUGGAAGACCAAUAAGUAGGGCCAACAUAAAAAGGGCCAACCAUAGCAUUAACUAAAUAAAACUGUAAACAUUGCUACAGCGUCUGCGUGAGUUAAAUCUAAAUCUGUAGACCGUUAUUGUAUGAAUAGUGAUGAGCAAAUCUGUCCCAUUUCCGAAAAUUGCCAUGACUGUGACAUUUGAUGUGACCGGAGUUUUUUUUUUGACCCACCUACGUCACAUGCAUGCUGAUAAUGACAUAUCUCCCAACAUUUGAAAAAUGAAAAGAGGGACAAAAAAGCAAAAAAGUCAAGUUAAUAUAAUCUAAACUUUGUAAAUUGGGUUUUACACAGGUCUUGCACCUCUUUUCACUGUUGCUGAUGCUGAGUCAUUGUGUUUGGGCUAUGAAGGAGUUUGAUUGUUCAUAACUGUCUUAUUAGAGUUACAGAAUUUUCUAUUGCCUUUUUAUACUAAUCUUUCCUAGUUAAUGGGACACAAUUGUUUUAAAUUUUUACUUUUAUUUAUUUUUUGUCAGUGCAUUCACGUGCAUCCGUACCCCAGAAAGGUGGCAAAAAUGCUGGGAAAAAGAAAGAAAAAGAAAUAGAAAAUAAAAUGCCAUUAACAACAACAACUCAUAUCACUUCGACAGUGGCAACAACAGCAGUAAAUGAAAGGGAUUUUAUCAUCUUAUACAUCCUCCUAAAACUUCAAGGGAAUAUGAAGACUUUUAUUAUAGUGAUAUCUGUUGGAGUUUUCCUCCUUGCAUGGAUUUUGUGUUGCUGACAUAGGAAGGAAACCCACGCUAGGGAUGGAGGAGAGGAGGAAACUUCAUCUGAGGAAGAUGAGAAUGAAGAGACAGAGAAGUCAUCUAAUUAAACAGAACAGACAUUUUAGAUGAUGAGGGAGAGGAGGAGGGCACCGCAUUUGAUAAGGAAGAAGAUUAUAUAGAAGCAAUAUCAGAUGUGGAAGACCAAUAAGUAGGGCCGACAUAAAAAGGGCCAACCAUAGCAUUAACUAAAUAAAACUGUAAACAUUG